rnacentral:lncRNA from 1 species
AUAAAUAUGUUGUUGUUUACGACUAUGUGAUUAAAUAUUAACAUUUUACCUGCGGGUACCCGUCUACCCUAACGGGUAACGGGUAUGGGGAAAAACAGUACCCGUUGCCGGGUAUGGGUACGGAUAACGGGUAAGAUCAAACGGAGGGGGUAAGGGUAUGGGAAGGCACCACUCGUACCCAUACCCUGCGGGUGCCAUUCCUAGUUGUUGAUCGUCUACUCACCCCACUGAAUAUUUUUUUGCAAAUCAUUAUAACUGUCAUAUAUUCUAUGUUAUAGAUAUUAAUAUUUACGAUUUUUAUAUUAUGGUUGAUUUGACAUAUAGUAUUACUAGAAGAUAUAUCAUAAGAUGUACCAACCAAAAAAAUGCAUCCUAAAAAAUCCAAAAAAAACAAAUUUAUUGAAAUAUAUUUUGCAGACCUAGAAAAAUAUCUAUUUUAACUCAUAGUGUUAGGAUAUGAAUUCGCCGUACCUCAAAAAAUUUCUGUCCUCCGCCAAUGGUUAUAAGAAUUAUGCAUUUGCAGCAAAAAGAACACACAUAUAUAUAUAUAUAUCUCUGGCAUUGAAUAAUUCAGAAAAUAAUUAAAGACGAACAAUGAACAUACAAAAAGGUAAGGAAUUUGAGAAAUAGAACAAAUAAUAUUGCAUGAAAGGAUCCUCUAUAACAAACAAAUGGGACCAGAAAAUGAACGUAGGAAGGGGAAACAUGAUCUCUCACCAAACAUAAAAAUUCCAGGUUUGAAAAUUUAACCCCAAACUAAAAUGCAAUAGAACUGGAUUUGAGGAAGAAAAAUGCGGUACCUCACAUGAAACAACCGGAAAUAAAAUUUUAGAGGAGGCGGUGAUCUAUCUCCAGCCCCACCCAGCCAACGCCUGCAAGGUCCCUAUAUCAGAAUUGUGGAGAGGAGACAAAAGAGAAAAGGCUUCUAAAAUUAGGGGGCUCCCAAACGAUGGACACCUUUUAACAUGCUUAAUUUAGAGAUCCCAGCCUCAUGUGUAUCUCUCGCG